CCGGGAGCCUCGUGGAGCGGCAGGAGACUCCGCGCCUUCAACGGAACCGAGCGGCAGAGCAGAGAGACGCGGCAGAGCGCAGCGCACUGCACCGUGCCGCUCCAGGGUCUGACACUCUGACUGCAGCAUUUCCGGACGGACAUGGAUGAUUUGGACGCCUUGUUGGCGGACCUUGAGUCCUCGACGGUCAACAUAUCGAAGCGGCCGUGUUCCUGUCGGAGGAGAAUUACUCAGUCCCUCUGUCUGCUGGCUCUGAACAGUUCUGUGAGGGGUCCGAGCAUACUCUGUGCCUGUGGGGAGUCCAGCGGCCCUGCAGCAGGAGCAGCUCAACGGAGACAGCCACAGCCAGCCGUCAGACCCCGCCCUGAGCCCUGCCUCCUGCAGCCCGACAGACGCACCAGAAGCCGACCACAUCUACAGCCUCCCAAACAAACAGAAGAGCACAGAUUCUCCCGCCGCCAUGAACUCUCUGGGCUCAAACCUGUCGGAGCUCGACCGACUUCUGCUGGAGCUGAACACGGUGCAGCACAGCGCCCCACAGAAGGUCAGCGGUCACUAACAAUCUGUUAGUGCUGUUUUAAUGUCAGAGCCAUGUUUGUUUGUUUGACGUUUUGUCGACGUGGGAUUUUGUCUGAAAUCUGAAAACAUGGCCGCGCUCCACAGCGUUUCCCGUGCUUAUCCAUUCAGAAAUACUGACAUGUUUGUUACGCACGGAAUCCCCCCGACAACACUCUGUAAUCCAAAUAUUUGGUCAUUUACUCCUGCCAAAGUCUGCGGGGAUAUCCACGCACAUGUGCAGACGUUAUUAACUUUAGGGCCUUUGUCAUUUCACUCUUUACCAACAUCUCCAGUUUAGUCGCUCCUACAGACUCCACACUUUACAGGCUCCCACUCAACUACAUUUGGAAGGCAAGGCAAGGCAAGUUUAUUUGUAGAGCACAAUUCAUACACAAGGCAAUUCAAAGUGCUUCACAGUUGCAGAAAAAAUUACAAGAAAACAGAUAAAAUCAAUCAAUAAAACAUCAACAUAAAGUUAAUCAAUGACAGUAAAAGGCAAGAGUGCAGAUAAAAUACUUUCAGUUUUCAUAUGCACGGGUAAAAAGAGCUGUUUUCAGCCUGGAUUUGAACAUUGUCAGAGUUGAGGCCUGUCUCACAUCCUCAUGAAGACUGUUCCAGAUUUAGCUGCAUGAAACUGAAACGCAGCCUCACCGUGUUUAUUAUUGACUCUGGGAACCACCAGGAGACCCCUCCCUGAAGUUCUCAGGGCCCGAGAUGGUUCAUACGGCUCUAACAUGUCAGAGAUGGACUUUGGUGCUAAACCAUGAAAAGACUUGUACACAAGCAGAGCUGUUUUAAAUUCUAUUCUCUGAGUGACAGGAAGCCAGUGCAGAGACCGGAGCACUGGACUAAUGUGGUCGUAUUUCCUGGUUCUUGUCAGGACUCGAGCAGCAGCGUUCUGGAUGUUCUGCAGCUGUCUAACAGCUCGUUUAGAAAGGCCAGUGAGCAGGCCAUUACAGUAGUCUAACCUGCUGGAGACAAAUGCAUGGAUGAGUCUCUCUAAGUCUGGUUUUGACACUAUUCCUCUGAUCUUGGCAAUGUUCUUCAGAUGGUAAAAAGCUGAUGAUGUUAUUGCUUUGAUGUGGCUGUUUAAGUUCAGGUCUGAGUCCAUGAUUACUCCUAGAUUUCUAACCUGAUUUUUUGGUUUCAGAGCGAGAGACUCAAGGUGACUGAUAACACUUUGUCUUUGUGUCUGUGGGCCAAAGACAAUGAUCUCAGUUUUGUCUGAGUUUAGUUGGAGAAAGUUGUUUUGCAUCCACAAACAGAUCUGUUCGAUGCAGUGACAGAGUGUAUCUACAGGCCCAUGUUCACCUGCCGUCAGUGACACGUAGAUCUGAGUGUCAUCUGCGUAGUUGUGGUACGACACAUUGUUGCUGUUUAUUAGCUGACCCAAUGGAAGCAUGUACAAGUUGAAUAAGAGGGGUCCCAAGAUUGACCCCUGGGGGACUCCACAGGUCAUGGAAAUUUUGUCUGAGACACAGUUGCCAAUUUCGACAAAGUACGUCCUAUCCUCGAGAUAGGACUUGAACCAGUUUAGAGCAGUACCAGAGAUUCCCACCCAGUUCUAACUUGUGAAGUAAGAUCCCGCGGUCCACUGUGUCAAAGGCAGCGCUCAGGUCCAGCAGAACUAAAACUGAGACCUUACCUGCAUU
ensembl:lncRNA